UACGUAGGGGGCUAGCGUUGUCCGGAAUCAUUGGGCGUAAAGAGCGUGUAGGCGGCCCGGUAAGUCCGCUGUGAAAGUCGGGGGCUCAACCCUCGAAUGCCGGUGGAUACUGUCGGGCUAGAGUGCGGAAGAGGCGAGUGGAAUUCCGGGUGUAGUGGUGAAAUGCGUAGAGAUCCGGAGGAACACCAGUGGCGAAGGCGGGUCUCUGGGCCGAAACUGACGCUGAGGAGCGAAAGCGUGGGGAGCAAACAGG
rnacentral:rRNA from 1 species